UACGUAGGAGACGAGCGUUGUCCGGAAUUACUGGGCGUAAAGGGCGCGUAGGCGGCCGCCUAAGUCAGACGUGAAAUCCCUCGGCUCAACCGGGGAACUGCGUCUGAUACUGGGUGGCUUGAAUCCGGGAGAGGGAUGCGGAAUUCCGAGGUGUAGCGGUGAAAUGCGUAGAUAUCUGGAGGAACACCGGUGGCGAAGGCGGCGUCCUGGACCAACACUGACACUGAGGAGCGAAAGCCAGGGGAGCAACGGG
rnacentral:rRNA from 1 species